UACGUCCACACCUUUUAGGUGUGGGCCAGUUGGCUGUCAUACUUCCAAGAAAAGCUCGAACUACUGUAAAGCAUCAAAUACCUGUACCGUAAACCGACACAGGUGGGUUGGUAGAGUAUACCAAGGGGCGCGAGAUAACUCUCUCUAAGGAACUCGGCAAAAUGACCCCGUAACUUCGGGAGAAGGGGUGCCAAGUAACUAAAAUUGCUUGGUCGCAGUGACCAGGCCCUGGCGACUGUUUAUCAAAAACACAGGUCUCCGCAAAGUCGUAAGACAACAUAUGGGGGCUGACGCCUGCCCAGUGCCGGAAGGUUAAAGAAGUUGGUUAUUCAUUCGUGGAGAAGCUGACGACUGAAGCCCCGGUGAACGGCGGCCGUAACAAUAACGGUCCUAAGGUAGCGAAAUUCCUUGUCGGGUAAGUUCCGACCCGCACGAAAGGCGUAACGAUCAGGGCACUGUCUCGGAGAGAGACUCGGUGAAAUAGACAUGUCUGUGAAGAUGCGGACUACCUGCACCUGGACAGAAAGACCCUAUGAAGCUUGACUGUAGCCUGGAAUUGGGUUCGGGCUCUUCUUGCGCAGCCUAGGUGGGAGGCGUUGAAAGCUUUCCUUUGGGAAAGCUGGAGCCAUCAGUGAGAGACCACUCUGGAGGAGCUAGAAUUCUAAUGGCGUUCCUUGAAGCAGGACGCUUGACAGUUUCAGGUGGGCAGUUUGACUGGGGCGGUCACCUCCUAAAAGGUAACGGAGGUGUGCAAAGGUUCCCUCAGGCUGGACGGAAAUCAGCCGUAGAGUGUAAAGGCAGAAGGGAGCUUGACUGCAAGACCUACAAGUCGAGCAGGGGCGAAAGCCGGCCUUAGUGAUCCGACGGUUCCAUGUGGAAGGGCCGUCGCUCAACGGAUAAAAGUUACUCUAAGGAUAACAGGCUGAUCUUCCCCAAGAGUUCACAUCGACGGGAAGGUUUGGCACCUCGAUGUCGGCUCAUCGCAACCUGGGGCGGUAGUACGUCCCAAGGGUUGGGCUGUUCGCCCAUGAAAGCGGUACGUGAGCUGGGUUCAGAACGUCGUGAGACAGUUCGGUCCAUAUCCGGUGUAGGCGUUAGAGCAUUGAGAGGAGCCUUCCAUAGUACGAGAGGACCUGGAAGGACGCACCUCUGGUAUACCAGUUAUCAUGCCAAUGGUACACGCUGGGUAGCCAUGUGCGGAGUGGAUAACCGCUGAAAGCAUCUAAGUGGAAAGCCCACCUCAAGAUGAGUGCUCUCCAUCAGGUCACAGGAAGACAACCUGUUUGAUAGGCAGAAGGUGUAAGGCUAGUAAUAGUUUCAGCUGAUCUGUACUAAUAGACCGAUUGAUUUU
rnacentral:rRNA from 1 species